CAGCAGCCACGGUAAUACGUAGGUGGCAAGCGUUGUCCGGAAUUAUUGGGCGUAAAGGGCUCGCAGGCGGUUUCUUAAGUCUGAUGUGAAAGCCCCCGGCUCAACCGGGGAGGGUCAUUGGAAACUGGGAAACUUGAGUGCAGAAGAGGAGAGUGGAAUUCCACGUGUAGCGGUGAGAUGCGUAGAGAUGUGGAGGAACACCAGUGGCGAAGGCGGCUCACUGGUCCAUUACUGACGCUGAGGUGCGAAAGCGUGGGGAGCAAACAGGAUUAGAUACCCCAGUAGUCCCUGUCUCUUAUAC
rnacentral:rRNA from 1 species